UCUUGAGUUUGAUCGUGGCUCAGGACGAACGCUGGCGGCGUGCCUAAUACAUGCAAGUCGAACGCUUUUUCUUUCACCGGAGCUUGCUCCACCGAAAGAAAAAGAGUGGCGAACGGGUGAGUAACACGUGGGUAACCUGCCCAUCAGAAGGGGAUAACACUUGGAAACAGGUGCUAAUACCGUAUAACACUAUUUUCCGCAUGGAAGAAAGUUGAAAGGCGCUUUUGCGUCACUGAUGGAUGGACCCGCGGUGCAUUAGCUAGUUGGUGAGGUAACGGCUCACCAAGGCAACGAUGCAUAGCCGACCUGAGAGGGUGAUCGGCCACACUGGGACUGAGACACGGCCCAGACUCCUACGGGAGGCAGCAGUAGGGAAUCUUCGGCAAUGGACGAAAGUCUGACCGAGCAACGCCGCGUGAGUGAAGAAGGUUUUCGGAUCGUAAAACUCUGUUGUUAGAGAAGAACAAGGAUGAGAGUAAAAUGUUCAUCCCUUGACGGUAUCUAACCAGAAAGCCACGGCUAACUACGUGCCAGCCGCCGACGUAACACAAA
rnacentral:rRNA from 1 species